UAUUUGGGCAUGAAUUUACUGCCCUUGCCAGUGACAAGGAGGUGUUGCUGUGAUGCUGACACAGCCAUGGAGCUGCAGAAACACCAUUCUGGGCACUGCAGCGAGGGAAGGUGUUCAGGGCAGGUGUAAAAGUGGGCCAGGCAUGACAUAAAAUAGAGGAGGACAAGUGUGCUCUGCUUCCAGAGGCUGGGGGAAGAUGCUGAGCAGGAGCUGUAGCAGGACAUCACGGGGGGUGGAGGGAGCCAGAGAAACAUCUAGCGUUGGUGCCCUCUGUGCAGUGAGCUCACAGCCCGUUGGGAUUGGCCAGGAACUGGGUCAGGAUGCAGCAGGAUGAAGGAAACAGAACCUGAAGCCCUUGAGCAAGGCCCCUUCCCCCCCUGCUGAGCUUGUGCUGAUGCUCUCAGGCUCUUCCCUGCUCCAGCACCCUCCCACCAGCCCCUCGGAGAGCUGGAUGCUCCUGCAAGCCCAGCCUGCCUCAAAGCACUGAAUGCUGCAGCCAGACACGAAGCUCAGCUGUGAGGAUGAAGAAGGGAGCUUGGAACACCCAGGCUACUGAAGAGAUGCAUCAGCGCCUGCUCCCAGCUGUAGGAGCAGGAAGGAGUGCUGGGAGCUCCCUCCCCACAAAGUGCAGAGAGGUCUCAUCCUUGCUGGAUCCUUCCCCUGCUGCUGUGUUGGCUCCAUGUGUAAAGGGCUUGGCAAAGGAGGAUAUCAGGGAGAGAUCAAGUAUCCCUUUCUGUGGUCAGGGUACACCUCCUCCAUGCCAUCUUUGGAGCCCCAGGUGCUGUUUGAAAUCCUCCACUGGCUCAUCCCUGCAUGCCCUGUCCGUGGGGGACAGGGAGGAUGCUCGGCACGCGCACUGGAACCUCAGGCAGGGCGGGAUGUGCCCGAUCCAUUUCAUUUCUGGCAGCAGUGGGAGAAAAGAGAGCCUUGGAAACCUAUAAAUCAACCAUCUCUCAAACUGUGUGGGAUUAAGGAAAAGGUGCAGAAUAGAAAUGAUUUCCUCGGGGGGAAGCACAUCCUUUCAUUUGCCGAGGAAAAUGAUGUCUUCAUCAGUUGUCUUCCAGAGACUCUGAAAAGAAUUAAAGGAGGGCUCAGAG